CGCCGCCCUGGAUUCUCGAGGCCUCAACCUCCCAGGCCCCAGGCCUCUACUUCUGCUUCUCCGCUCCGCCUGUGGGCACCUGGCAAGGGGCCUGACCCCACCACCGGGGAGAGGCGGGGCCUGGUGGGCGUGGCCGGCGGGGCGGGGUUGGGCCCUGGCGGGAACUAAAGGAAGUGGGCUCGCGGCGCCUGCGCACUCCACUCCACGGACGUCGGUUUUUUCUGCCCGGCGCCCGCGCCCUUCGCUGCGCGACCCGCGUUCCGCGUCCCGCAUCUCACGCAGCUGUCCCUCCUGCUCGCACCUCGUUGGGAGGCUGCUGACUUGGACCCCUGUGAGCCGGAGCGUGUGGGCCAUGGAUUCUAAGGUCAGAUGGUGCGGUUGUCCUGGAAGAAGGCUUUGGGGACACGGGUGGCUGAGGCCUUGCAGAAGGAGCCUCACAUCCAUAGCGGGGGAUGACGAUGACAAGCUUGUGGCAUCUCCCCACCUCCUCCUGCACCUAUACCUGGCCACCCCCUGGAUAGGCCAGGAGACUUUCCUAAGCUUGGUGCCUGCUCUGUGAGUCCUGAGCAGCAAGCAGCCCCGUACCUGCAAGGGCCUCAGUCUGGACUUUACCAGCGUCCUUCUCAGGAGGUGGGGACCCUGGUGGCCAAGGGUCUCAGAUGUCAUGAGCUCUAGCGAAACAUCCGGUCUUGAACAGAAGAGAUUUCAGGAGCUGCCCUAGUGGGAACAGGCCAGUCCUCAGGGCUGAAAUGCCAUUUGGUGCCCCUGCUCCUGUGCCCUCCUGGCAGGACCCCUGCUGCCUUCCCUGGUCCUGUUUCCUGAUGACUUGUCAGUGAGGAAGGAGGACAGGAUUGCUCCCAGGGCUUCUCUUUUCCUUUCUUUUCCUUCAAGCUGAGAAACCCGAGACAGGAGUGUCCAUAGUUGUAGUUGCUGGUGAGACAUCUAUUUCCUCUUCCCCUCCCUGCAACAGAAUUGUCAUCCUGCUAUCAAUUUUUCUGACUUUGAAAUUUUUUUCCAGUUUUUAAAAAUUAGUAAAAAUAUACAUUGGCACGACAUUUACUGUUUUAGCCUGUUUUAAGUGUUCAGCUUAGUGGCAUUCAGCACUGUACCCCUGGCCCCAUCACUCCACUUUCUUUCUCUGGGAAUUCGACACUUCAGGGACCACACAGGUGCUAGGGCUUGUGUAGUGUGUGUCCUCUUAUGUCUGGCAUAUUUCACUGAGCAUAAUGUCUCAGGUUUGGGUUUAUUACUGUUGCUUGGCACUAAUUUCACAGGCUUUGAGCACUAAGAUUCUUAUCACAAAGCUUUCCACUGUUUUCUCUGCACUGGGACUGAUUUAUAGCGCAAGUUAUUUUCCCUCCUAUAGAUCAGCUCUGUAAUAUGUCCAGAAAGAUUGCCUAAGGCUUUUUUUUUUUUUUUUUUUGUCUUUUGAGGGCCGCAUCCAUGGCAUGUGGAAGUUCUCAGACUAGGAGUUGAAUCAGCUGUAGCCCCCGGCCUACCCCACAGCCACAGCAACAUCAGAUCUGAGCUGCAUCUGUGACUACAGCAUAGCUCAUAGC
ensembl:lncRNA